GUCUUCCUCAGGAAUUUGAGCUGGGGAUCUGCAUCCUGGCCAUUGCAGUCCUUUAGCAUCCUCGCCGCGCCCUGAGCGCGCUGGAGGCUCGCAGGCUGCGCCCUCCCAGGGCUGAUGCCGCGUCCUGCUCCGCCGUUCUGGGACGUCGGGGACAAAAGUGGAGGAGACGGGAGAGCCCGGGCAGAAAAAGCAGGACGCGCGUCCCAGCUGCCGUGAAGAUGCCAAACCCACCAAGACUGCGCUGCCCCACCUCUCCGAGGCUGUCCUGGGAGUGCGGGUGACCCGCGAGCUCCAGAAUCUUUCCUUAAGGUGGAGCCACAGCGCCACCUCGCGAUCCUCCAGCUUCCCUCCCUCAUGGCCACGGAAGGCUGGCCCUUUCUGGUCCAAGCCCCCAGGGUCCCACACUUACUGGUUUUCCAUGCACUUUCAUUAUUUCCCUUUCUCUCUCUUCAAUGUUCCCUUAUCCUGAGUAUUGAGGUCCCCAAACGCGCCUUUCUACCCCACGUUUGGACAUAGCCGGAAUGUCUACCUCCUUCUCCAUCCGGUGAAGCACUGCUCCCCCUAAAAUCACCAGCUCAAAAGUCACCUCUAUGAAACCUUUUUAGACUUUUCCAACGCAGUCAUUCGUGCCUUUCCCUGGUUUCCCUACUGCUCGCAUCACAUUGGACAGGAAAUGCUAUUUAAACGUUUUUCUCCUCUCCCUAAUCAGGGAGCUCCUCUGAGAGGAGCCAUGGCUGUCCUUGCUUAUUCAACAAUAAAACCUAGUAUAUAUCAAGUG
rnacentral:lncRNA from 1 species